GAUGAACGCUGGCGGCGUGCCUAAUACAUGCAAGUCGAGCGAACAGACGAGGAGCUUGCUCCUCUGACGUUAGCGGCGGACGGGUGAGUAACACGUGGAUAACCUACCUAUAAGACUGGGAUAACUUCGGGAAACCGGAGCUAAUACCGGAUAAUAUAUUGAACAGCAUGGUUCAAUAGUGAAAGACGGUUUUGCUGUCAAUUAUAGAUGGAUCCGCGCCGCAUUAGCUAGUUGGUAAGGUAACGGCUUACCAAGGCAACGAUGCGUAGCCGACCUGAGACGUUGAUCGGCCACACUGGAGAUGAGACACGGUCCAGACUCCUACGGGAGUCAGCAGUAGGGAAUCUUCCGCAAUGGGCGAAAGCCUGACGGAGCAACGCCGCGUGAGUGAUGAAGGUCUUCGGAUCGUAAAACUCUGUUAUUAGGGAAGAACAAAUGUGUAAGUAACUAUGCACGUCUUGACGGUACCUAAUCAGAAAGCCACGGCUAACUUCGUGCCAGCCGCCGCAGUAA
rnacentral:rRNA from 1 species